GAAAAUGUCGGAUACCAUUGGAAAACGUGAACUUCUGUCCCGAAUUUUUGAUAACAUGCCUUUAUUCUGAUGAAAUCGUUGGAGCAGUUGAAAACAUGGAGUGAACUAGCACAGCUGUGACUGAAGUCUUUGCCGCCACGACCAAAUAGGAAUCAUUAUGCCGCAUCUCACGAAAUCGUCCAGUCUCUCCAUCCACGUCCACGUCUCUCCAUCCAUUCGAUACCACAGCCUUGAAGUCUCUCACUCUUCAUCUCCGCUUUCUUACAAACCUUAUUCCCUCUGUAUAUAUUUGAAUGAGCAAC